rnacentral:lncRNA from 1 species
GUUUUUUUGAAAGUUUUGGCGGGGUCUGCUCAAUUGGUGCUGGGGGUUGGUUAAUGGUUUUGUUCGGUUGCCGUUUAGAGCAGUUGAAUCCAAGAAUCAGAAUAUUUAAAUAGCUAGUAAACUUGUUGAGUCAAAAGUUAAAUUGGAGUUUUAAGAGAUGAAUAAAUUUAAGUCCUUAAUGACUAAGCUAGUGAGAACUCGAGAAGUUUGAGUUCCUAAGACAAUGUAAAAUUAAUGGAGUAUAUCCAAAAUCUAUAUGGAGCAUAAAGUUACCAGUUAACUCUAAAAAAAUCUUGCAAAAUACAAGAAAAAUAUGCUUGAAAGCCACAAUAACAGAGGCAAGAAGGAAAAUAUACAAUUUAAGAAGAGAGCAAAUAGUUCUACAAAAAAGCAAGGAAAUAACAGACAUACCUAAUUACCAAACAGUUAUAGCAAGGCACCAAGAAGACUUGACUACCUUAAAAACAAUUUAAGAAGGCAACAUAUAAGAAAAAUAAAAUGGUUAUUCAAGACCCAGCUACACAAAUCAAAAAAUAACAAAACAUUUGAACUGCAAGAAGUUGUAACACUAAUAGACGACUUGCCAUCCUAGAGUCAGUAAUGAAGGUUCUAAAGAAAGGCCCAUCCUACACUCUAAAAACAUUGAUUAACCCAAUCGAUGUUAUUCCAUCUUUUGAAAGAAUCUCAAAUAACCUAGACUCAUUAGAAAAGGAAAGAGCAAGAUGGAAGUUAGUACAAGAGCUAGAAAAAUCUAAGAUAAAAGAGAACUUAGCAAACUUACUUAGAAACUGCUAUACCCUUUUAACUAUUAACUUCAAAUAUAAGCACUUAUAUGCAGUUCUUAUAUGCAAUUCUGCUAAGAUCCCCGCCCCCUUGCUGGGAUAUUAGCAGAAUUUAUAAUAAGAAAAAUAGAAACGACAGAGCUACAGGGCAC